rnacentral:rRNA from 1 species
GAUGAACGCUGGCGGCGUGCCUAAUACAUGCAAGUCGAGCGAACAGACGAGGAGCUUGCGCCUCUGACGUUAGCGGCGGACGGGUGAGUAACACGUGGAUAACCUACCUAUAAGACUGGGAUAACUUCGGGAAACCGGCGCUAAUACCGGAUAAUAUCUUGCACCGCAUUGUUCAAUGGUGAAAGACGGUUUUGCUGUCACUUAUCGCUGGAUCCGCGCGGCAUUAGCUAGUUGUUACGGUAACCGCUUACCAAGGCAACGAUGCGUUGCCGACGUGAGAGGGUGGUAGGCCACAUGGGAACUGAGACACGGUCCAGACGCCUACGGGAGGCAGCAGUAGGGAAUCGUAGGCAAUGGGCGAAAGCCUGACGGAGCAAGGGCGAGUGAGUGAUGAAGGUCUUCGGAGCGGAAAGCUCGGUUAUGAGGGAAGAACAAAUGUGGAAGGAGCUGUGCACGGAUUGACGGUACCGGAUCAGAAAGCAACGGCUAACUACGUG